GACGAACGCUGGCGGCGUGCUUAACACAUGCAAGUCUUACGAGAAAAGGGUAGCAAUAUCCUGAGUAAAGUGGCGCACGGGUGAGUAACACGUAGGCAAUUUGCCUUUAGGACGGGAACAACCACGCGAAAGCGUGGCUAAUACCCGAUGAUGCAGCGGCUCCGCAUGGAGACAGUUGUUAAAGUCCCGACGCAAGUCGGGAACCUAUUGAUGAGCCUGCGUCUGAUUAGCUAGUUGGUGAGGUAACGGCCCACCAAGGCAACGAUCAGUAGCUGGUCUGAGAGGAUGAUCAGCCACACUGGAACUGAGACACGGUCCAGACUCCUACGGGAGGCAGCAGUGAGGAAUAUUGCGCAAUGGCCGAAAGGCUGACGCAGCGACGCCGCGUGAAGGAUGAAGUUCGUUAGAAU
rnacentral:rRNA from 1 species